CUUUACUGCAAAGCCUCUAGAGAGUGGAAAAGUGUCUUAAUGCAAACUAGAGAUUUCCAUGACAAAGGUGGUAGAUGACUUUGACCUACUAAACUUCCCUUUGCUCAGCUAUGGGAUGACAGGUGUUCUACCUCUCCUCCCAAAUAACUCUGCAGACUAUUUUAUAGGAUUACAAGAGAUCAAAAUCAUAACUUAGGUUUUGUGUUUUUUGUAAACAGUCUCCGCCAAGAACUUUUAAACAGUUUUAUGGUUGUAAGUAACCAUUUUGGCUAUGGAUCUCUGAAAAUGGAUUCUGUCUCCAAGUUACAGCCAUGUCUAACGCUGCCAGCUCCUUGUUGGCUUUGUAGGAGGAGGAGGAGGACACCCCCUGCCCCACGUUCAUGUUCAUGUUCAUGUUCCUGACACAUCCGCCCAGACCUCAAAAAACAGCAAUGGAAAUGAGACAUCCUUUUCCUCUGCUAAAGUGAGGAGUGUUCAGAGAAAGAGUCUACAGAGGGACGGCAUCAGAACUCAGGUCUUCAUGAUAGAGUAACUCAACUUGGCUCCAACCGGGGGAUGAAGUUGGGUUGGUGUAACUUUGAAGGGGAGCCCUCUCUGUACAACCAUCCAUUUAUAACGCAGAGGAAAUGCUAACAAAUUCUAAUCUGGAAAUGCGGAGUUCCUUUUAAAUGAAAAUCUAGAGGUAGUGAAUAAAUGCCAUAGUAUCUGCGAA